UACGUAGGUGGCAAGCGUUGUCCGGAUUUACUGGGCGUAAAGAGCGCGCAGGCGGUCGUUCAAGUCGCGUGUGAAAGCCCCCGGCUCAACUGGGGAGGGUCACGCGAUACUGAUCGACUCGAAGGCAGGAGAGGGUAGUGGAAUUCCCGGUGUAGUGGUGAAAUGCGUAGAUAUCGGGAGGAACACCAGUGGCGAAGGCGGCCCCCUGGGUCGGCCCUGACGCUGAGGCGCGAAAGCCAGGGGAGCAAACGGG
rnacentral:rRNA from 1 species